rnacentral:rRNA from 1 species
CUACGUGCGGCAGCUACCCUGUAGCCACCCUGUAGCUCCUUAAAGACAACGGCGGAGACGUGGAGUCCUCUGAGCUUAGUAACUUUUCUAGCUUCUGAAGGCGCCGCGGCCCCUGCCGCAAAACCCCAACUCUUUUAGUGGUUGACCUCGGAUCAGGUAGGAAUACCCGCUGAACUUAAGCAUAUCAAUAAGCGGAGGAAAAGAAACCAACAGGGAUUGCCUUAGUAACGGCGAGUGAAGCGGCAACAGCUCAAAUUUGAAAGCUGGCCUUCGGGUCCGCAUUGUAAUUUGUAGAGGAUGCUUUUGGUUAGGUGCCUUACGAGUUCCCUGGAACGGGACGCCUUAGAGGGUGAGAGCCCCGUACGUUUGGUUACCGAGCCUCUGUAAAGCUCCUUCGACGAGUCGAGUAGUUUGGGAAUGCUGCUCUAAAUGGGAGGUAAAUUUCUUCUAAAGCUAAAUACCGGCCAGAGACCGAUAGCGCACAAGUAGAGUGAUCGAAAGAUGAAAAGCACUUUGAAAAGAGGGUUAAAUAGCACGUGAAAUUGUUGAAAGGGAAGCGUUUAUGACCAGACUUUUUCCUAGCGGAUCAUCCGGCGUUCUCGCCGGUGCACUUCGCUAGGUUUAGGCCAGCAUCGGUUUUCGCAGGGGGAUAAAAGCGGCGGUAAUGUGGCUCCCUCCGGGGAGUGUUAUAGACCGCCGUAUAAUACCCUUGCGGGGACCGA